GGCCACGCCAUGUUGAAACAGCAGUUCUCAUAUGAUCACUAAAGUUAAGUAAUAUUUAGUCUGGUCAGUACCUAGGUGAGUGACCACUUGGGAAUACUAGGUACUGUAAGC